rnacentral:rRNA from 1 species
AACCUGCCCAAGAGAUCGGGAUAACACCUGGAAACAGAUGCUAAUACCGGAUAACAACAGAUGAUGCCUAUCAACUGUUUAAAAGAUGGUUCUGCUAUCGCUCUUGGAUGGACCUGCGGUGCAUUAGCUAGUUGGUAGGGUAACGGCCUACCAAGGCGAUGAUGCAUAGCCGAGUUGAGAGACUGAUCGGCCACAUUGGGACUGAGACACGGCCCAAACUCCUACGGGAGGCAGCAGCC